GCUCUGUCUUCCAGCUCACUAAUCUGUUUCUCUGCACCAUUUAAUCUACUAUUGAUUCUUUCUACCGUAUUUUUCAUUUCAUUUACUAUAUUCUUCAUCUCUGAUUAUUCUUUAUACUUUCUUUUUGUGAUCCCAUGGACUUUAGCCUGCCAGGCUCCUCUAUCCAUGGGAUUCUCCAGGCAAGAAUACUGAAAUGGUUUGCCAUUCCCUUCUCCAGGAGAUCUUCCUGACUCAGAAAUUGAACCUGGGUUUCCUGCAAGAGACCCAGGUUUCCUGCAUUGCAGGCAGAUUCUUUACCAUCUGAGCCACCAGGGAAGCCCUUAAAUUUUCUAAAUCUUUGUUGAAAACUUCUAACUUCUUGCUCUAGGCAGCUCAUUUUGCCCAGGUCACUAUUCUUACGUUUAUGUGUCUGGUAGGGUGGUGCCAUUUCCCAACUCUGGAGAAGUGACUUCUGCAGAAGUCCUGUGUGUCCCGGUAGUGUCCCCUCUCUGUCCCCUCUGUGUGUCCCCUCUUUUCACUGGAGCUUUAUGCUCUAUGGGGUUCCCCAUGAUGUCCACGUGGGUCCUGAUAUGCGGUUGAUCUGGUAGUCUAGGACAGCCCCUGUUCAGGUCGGUUGCCAGGCUCUGCCCUGUGAGGAGGCUGCCACCUGCUGGUUGGUGGGGCUGGGUCAGGCAACCACUGAGUCUAGAACCACCAGUCUCCCAUCCCGCUUGGGCUAGUUCUGGCAUAUUGGUGGGCAGAAUCAGGGUCCAGAAGACUCUGGGGGAUGUUACAGCCCACUAGUGGCUGAAGCCAGAUCCUGGGAUUAGUUUUACCAGGUCCUGGAGUCCUGGGGACUGGUUGCAGGGCUCAGGGAUUCUAGCGUUGGUGUCAGGUUGCUCGCUGGGGACAAGGAGAGGAGGGGAGAGCAGUUCCUAUCACAGUGGAGUACAGGUUCCAGGGAGUCCUGAGGCUUGUGUCGGCCUGCUAGUGGGCAGGACCAGGGUGCAGCUGGUUUUAGGACACCAUCUGGCCUGCUGGAGUCAGCACUGUGGCUUUCUUGAAUGUAGGGUCUGCGCCCUGGUCCAGAGACAAGGGCAGACUGCUUGGAGGGUAGGGUCGGAACAGGGGAUCUGGGACGUUGUCUGCCCUCUGGUGGCAGAGGCUGUGUCGAGAGGAGGCUGUGUGCAGAGGAGGUCUUAAGGCAGCCUGUCUGUUGAUAAGUGGAGUUACGUCCCCACCCAGUUAGUUGCUUGGCGUGAGAUGUCCCCCAGCACUGGCAUCUACAGGUUGUUGGGUGUGGCCAGGUCUUUGCGCUCAGGAAUCCUUAGCACCUGCAUCAGGUGGAAGGAAAUUCCAAGAAUGUCUGCCGCCAGAGUCCAGCUCCCGAGGAUGAGCCCCGGCUGCCCCCUGUUCCUCCAGGAAACUCUUUAAGCCCAGCAGGUGGCUGCUUAUUGCAUCUUGUCAUAAAAUCUAAAUGAUGUGCUGGUGUUGGAGUGUAUUCAGAACAGUAAAGGUCUUCUACAGCCAUCAGGAACGGUGUAUUCCAGGAGCCAAAAAACUUCCCCAAAUGGCCAAAACCAGAAACAUUCAACUCAGCCGAGGAGAGGAAAAGACAAGUCAGAAUUACAAGGCCUAACUCCUGCAUCCCGGGAUCCCUGCCUGCAGAAUGAGGAGAGGGGGCUGGGGACCGCGCCUCCAUUUUGUCAAUAAUGCCUAAUGUGGUUCCCGACACUAUACAAUAGUUAUAGGUUUACCUAAAAACCUACAAACUCUUCCUUUCUUAAAUUCUCACUAAUUAUGUAAGAGUAAUUCAGCUUCUCAGCAUCUUUACUAACAUGUUUAUUUCAUUAUUUUUAAUUUUACUCAUUCAUAUAGUUCUAUAGUGAUACCAUACUAUGGCUUUACUUUGCAUUUUUCUGAUGACCCAAUGUUAAUAAAUUUUCAUGAGCUUAUAUAUCAUAUGUGUGUGUGUGUUUGUGUGUGUGUGUGUAUUUGGUGAAGAGGUUUUUUCUUUUCUUUUUUAUUUACUUAUUUAUUUUUGCUCAUUCUUUAACUGGAUUAUUUGUGCCAUGAAAUUUGAGUUUUAAGCAUUCUCUGUAUUUUCUACAUAGCAAUUUGUUGCUGGGUAUGUGAUUUGCAAAUAAAUUCUUUCUAUCUAUAGCUUUUCUUUCAAUACUUUUGACAGGGACCAUUGCAAAGAAAAGAAGUUUAAUUUAUAACAUUUUUUCUUUUAUGGAAUGUAUUUUUGGUGUUAAGUAUAACAACUCUGCCUAGUUCUAGAUUCCAAAGAUUUUUUAUAAGUUUUCUAAAAGUUUUAUCAUUUUAUGUUUAAAUCCAUUCUCUGCUUUGAGUUAAUGUUUAUGAAAGACAUGAGACAUAGUUGUUUUUCUCAUAUGAAUAUUCUAUUUCUCUGGCACAGUUUGUUAAAAGAUAGUCUGUUUUUUUUUUUUUUUUUGAGUUGAUUUUGCACCUAUGUAUUAGGUCAGUUGGAUGCAUUAGGAUGAGUCAAACUCAGGGUUUUCUAUUGUAUUCCACUGAUCUGUGUGUCUGUUUUUUGUUUUUUUUUUUCCCCCUCUGUCAAUACAAAACUAUCUUGAUUACUUGAACAUGACUUAAAAUUAGAUAGACUUGUACUUCCCAUUUUACUCUUCUUUUGAAAAUUGUUUUAUUCUUUUGCCUUUCUAUAUAAGUUUUAAAAUAUGUUGUUUAUGUCUACAAAAAUAUUGCUGGAGUUUUAAUAGGAAUUGUGUUAACCUAUAUAUCAUUUGGGAGAAAGUUGACAUAUUCACCACAUUGAAUCUUCAAAUCCAUUAAAGAUUUCUUCCAUUUAUGUAGGUUGAUUACUUUCAUCAGCAUUACAC
ensembl:lncRNA